AGGAUUAACGCUGGCGGCGUGCCUAACACAUGCAAGUCGAACGAGGUAGCAAUACCUAGUGGCAGACGGGUGAGUAGCGCGUGGUCAACCUACCGUUGAGUGGGGGAUAACUAGCCGAAAGGUUAGCUAAUACCGCAUACGUCUCCGAGGGGCAUCCCUUGGUGAUAAAAGGAGCAAUCCGCUCGAUGACGGGACCGCGUCCCAUUAGCUAGUUGGUGGGGUAACGGCCUACCAAGGCAUCGAUGGGUAGCUGGUUUGAGAGAGCGACCAGCCACACUGGGACUGAGAUACGGCCCAGACUCCUACGGGAGGCAGCAGUGAGGAAUUUUCCGCAAUGGGCGAAAGCUUGACGGAGCGACGCCGCGUGUGGGAAGAAGGCCUUCGGGUCGUAAACCACUGUCGAAGGGAGAUAAUGACGGUACCCUUGGAGGAAGCCCCGGCUAACUACGUGCCAGCAGCCGC
rnacentral:rRNA from 1 species